rnacentral:rRNA from 1 species
AUUGAACGCUAGCGGCAGGCCUAACACAUGCAAGUCGAGCGGAGCGGCGGACGGGUGAGUAAUGCCUAGGAAUCUGCCCGGUAGUGGGGGAUAACUUCCGGAAACGGGAGCUAAUACCGCAUACUAUCAGAGUGGCCGAUGUCGGAUUAGCUAGUUGGUGGGGUCAAGGCCUACCAAGGCGACGAUCCGUAACUGGUCUGAGAGGAUGAUCAGUCACACUGGAACUGAGACACGGUCCAGACUCCUACGGGAGGCAGCAGUGGGGAAUAGUGGACAAUGGGCGAAAGCCUGAUCCAGCCAUGCCGCGUGUGUGAAGAAGGUCUUCGGAUUGUAAAGCACUUUAAGUUGGGAGGCGUUACCAACAGAAUAAGCACCGGCUAACUUCGUGCCAGCAGCCGCGGUAAUUC